CGGAGGAUCCGAGCGUUAUCCGGAUUUAUUGGGUUUAAAGGGUGCGUAGGCGGGAGGAUUAAGUCGGUGGUGAAAUUUUAGUCAGCUCAACUAGUAAAAGUAGCCAUUGAUACUGGUUUCCUUGAGUGUGGAUGAAGUAGGCGGAAUUUGUGGUGUAGCGGUGAAAUGCAUAGAUAUCACGAGGAACUCCGAUUGCGCAGGCAGCUUACUAAACCAUAACUGACGCUCAGGCACGAAGGCGUGGGGAUCAAACAGGAUUAGAUACCCU
rnacentral:rRNA from 1 species